UACGUAGGGUGCAAGCGUUGUCCGGAAUUAUUGGGCGUAAAGAGCUCGUAGGCGGUCUGUCGCGUCGGCUGUGAAAACCCGGAGCUCAACUCCGGGCCUGCAGUCGAUACGGGCAGACUGGAGUUCGGCAGGGGAGACUGGAAUUCCUGGUGUAGCGGUGAAAUGCGCAGAUAUCAGGAGGAACACCGGUGGCGAAGGCGGGUCUCUGGACAACAACUGACGCUGAGGAGCGAAAGCGUGGGGAGCGAACAGG
rnacentral:rRNA from 1 species